rnacentral:rRNA from 1 species
UGAGUGUAGGCUUUGCCUGCUAUCUCUUACCCAUGUCUUUUGAGUACCUUACGUUUCCUCGGCGGGUCCGCCCGCCGAUUGGACAAUUUAAACCAUUUGCAGUUGCAAUCAGCGUCUGAAAAAACUUAAUAGUUACAACUUUCAACAACGGAUCUCUUGGUUCUGGCAUCGAUGAAGAACGCAGCGAAAUGCGAUAAGUAGUGUGAAUUGCAGAAUUCAGUGAAUCAUCGAAUCUUUGAACGCACAUUGCGCCCCUUGGUAUUCCAUGGGGCAUGCCUGUUCGAGCGUCAUUUGUACCUUCAAGCUCUGCUUGGUGUUGGGUGUUUGUCUCGCCUCUGCGUGUAGACUCGCCUCAAAACAAUUGGCAGCCGGCGUAUUGAUUUCGGAGCGCAGUACAUCUCGCGCUUUGCACUCAUAACGACGACGUCCAAAAGUACAUUUUUACACUCUUGACCUCGGAUCAGGUAGGGAUACCCGCUGAACUUAAGCAUAUCAAAGUGGGAAGGAAA